rnacentral:rRNA from 1 species
AACGAACGCUGGCGGCGUGCCUAACACAUGCAAGUCGAGCGCGAAAAGGGCAACCUGAGUAGAGCGGCGCACGGGUGCGUAACACGUGGGUAAUCUGCCUCAAAGUUUGGGAUAACCUUCCGGAAAGGUUGGCUAAUACCGGAUAAGCUCACGAGGUCUUCGGGACUUUGUGGGAAAAGGUGGCCUCUAUUUAUAAGCCAUCACUUUGAGAUGAGCCCGCGGCCCAUCAGCUAGNGGCGGGGUAACGGCCCACCAAGGCUACGACGGGUAGCUGGUCUGAGAGGACGAGUCAGCCCAACACUGGAACUGAGACACGGUCCAGACUCCUACGGGA